AUCCAGCUGACGGAUCCCAAAUGGGAAGAAACGCGCGUCCUGGAU
rnacentral:hammerhead_ribozyme from 1 species